CCUACGGGUGGCAGCAGUGGGGAAUAUUGCACAAUGGGGGAAACCCUGAUGCAGCGACGCCGCGUGAGUGAAGAAGUAUUUCGGUAUGUAAAGCUCUAUCAGCAGGGAAGAAAAUGACGGUACCUGAGUAAGAAGCCGCGGCUAACUACGUGCAAGCAGCCGCGGUAAUACGUAGGGGGCAAGCGUUAUCCGGAUUUACUGGGUGGAAAGGGAGCGUAGACGGCAUGGCAAGUCUGAAGUGAAAGCCCGGGGCUCAACCGCGGGACUGCUUUGGAAACUGUUAAGAUGGAGUGCAGGAGAGGUAAGUGGAAUUCCUAGUGUAGCGGUGAAAUGCGUAGAUAUUAGGAGGAACACCAGUGGCGAAGGCGGAUUACUGGACUGUAACUGACGUUGAGGCUCGAAAGCGUGGGGAGCAAACAGGAUUAGAUACCCUUGUAGUC
rnacentral:rRNA from 1 species